GCUAUUGCUCGACGAAGGAACUCGUAUGCAUGGUCGCCUAAAUAGUACUUUUGCAGGCCAGUUUAGCUUGAGGUCGAGCAUACUUGGGGUUGAGGCAUAGCUGUCAUAGCUUCCGCAUUAUAAAAGCAUCGGUUAUUUAUCUUGUUUUCUAUUCUCUUAUACGCAUGUAUAUUAGAUUGCUCUGAUAACCUAUGAGAUUAAUAUUCUUAAAUUCAGAAUUGUUUAUGAAAUGAGAGAUGUGAAAUGUUGUGAUA